rnacentral:rRNA from 1 species
UGCGCAGGUGGGCUUGUAAGUCAGUGGUGAAAUACUGCCGCUUAACGGUAGAACUGCCAUUGAUACUGCAAGUCUUGAAUAUGGUUGAGGUAGGCGGAAUGUGUCGUGUAGCGGUGAAAUGCAUAGAUAUGACACAGAACGCCGAUUGCGAAGGCGGCUUACUAAGCCAUUAUUGACGCUGAGGCACGAAAGCGUGGGGAGCGAACAGGAUUAGAUACCCUGGUAGUCC